GAUGAACGCUGGCGGCGUGCCUAAUACAUGCAAGUCGAGCGAACGGACGAGAAGCUUGCUUCUCUGAUGUUAGCGGCGGACGGGUGAGUAACACGUGGAUAACCUACCUAUAAGACUGGGAUAACUUCGGGAAACCGGAGCUAAUACCGGAUGAUAUUUUGAACCGCAUGGUUCAAAAGUGAAAGACGGUCUUGCUGUCACUUAUAGAUGGAUCCGCGCUGCAUUAGCUAGUUGGUAAGGUAACGGCUUACCAAGGCAACGAUGCAUAGCCGACCUGAGAGGGUGAUCGGCCACACUGGAACUGAGACACGGUCCAGACUCCUACGGGAGGCAGCAGUAGGGAAUCUUCCGCAAUGGGCGAAAGCCUGACGGAGCAACGCCGCGUGAGUGAUGAAGGUCUUCGGAUCGUAAAGCUCUGUUAUUAGUGAAGAACAUAUGUGUAAGUAACUGUGCACAUCUUGACGGUACCUAAUCAGAAAGCCACGGCUAACUACGUG
rnacentral:rRNA from 1 species